AACCUCGCCCUUAUUCUCUUUUCUUCUUAUUCAUUCUCUAUUCUUCUUUCUUUUCCGUUUCUCUUCUCUUCUCUCCUGUUCUUCUUUGUCUGACGAAAUUGUGAGAUCAAAUGGAAGCUCUGAGAUCGAUAGAAGGUGGAGAAGAUCAUAUUGUAGUCAAUAGUGAUGGUGUUGAUGUUUAUUGAGUUCGGAAAGAAGAAGCUGAUGCGGUUAUAUUCAGAAUUAGGGUUAUAGAACCGAUUGAUGUUCUGAAGUUUUAAGAGAUGAAUUUAGAGCGGUGGUUUGAUGAAGAAUCAUGGGUUAAGUCUCAAUUGAAGUUCUGAACUUGUAUUUGAGAUGAACUGAGAGCUAGGGUUUCUGAAUCUAGUCUCGAGAUUCGAUUGAAGAUGUAGUUAGUGUUCUAUGAUGUCGAUUAGAGAUGGGUUUAUUAUUAAUUAAAGUUUAAAUGAGUGGAUUGGGUUUGAUUUCAGUUUCUGUAUGAAUUGAAUCAGGAGUUAGGGUUUUUGCAUGUUGAAGAUGAAUGGAUUGAAUUAAACAAGAAGAGCAGUUAUUUGACGAAUAAAGAAUUAGGGUUUUGUUGAAGCAGUAGAGAAAUUAUAGGAGAUAAAAGAUGGGUUUGGAUGACUAAGAGGAUUAUAAUCAAUAGCAGUUUAUGAUGUUGGUGUUGGUGUUGAUUUGUGGGUUGGUUCAAUUCAGAAAUUGGAGAAAGAGAAAUAGAAAUUAGAGUGUCGGCGGAAUUGGUUGGUGAAUUAGCAAUUCAAAGGAAGUUGGUGUUUGGGUAAGUCUCAGUGUUGUUUAAAUUCAGUAAUUGAAGUUGAAUUGUAGAGUUCGUAUGAUUAUGAAUGGAAUUAAGAAAUGAUUGAGUUUAGUUAGAUUGUAGAAGAUUAUGAGAAUUGCAGAACUGGUGAUGGAGGUGGAAGUAUUAGUGGAGCUGUAAUUGAAAACUGUGGUGGUGAUUGUUAAUGUAAGAACUGUUGCAGUUCAGUUUUGGUGGAAUUACAUGGGUCAUGAAUACAUAGUGGGGGUCUGAGAAUGAUAUAUUGCUGAUGGAUGUUGUUGUGGGUAUUGGAGGUUCAAUGGAUGUGUAGUUGAGAUGAGUUAGUAGAUGCUGGAAUUGUGACAGCGGAACUGAAGUAGAUGUGGUGAUGUUGUGUUGUAAUGCAAGGUUGUGAAUGAGUUGGGUAGAAGUAUGAACUGUGCGGCUGAAAUGGGAGUGAUAAUGAAGUUGCAGAGUUGAGAUGGCAGUGGAGCUGAAAUUGCAUGUGGAGAUGUCAUGGCUAGCUGAUGAGUUAACAAUGGUUGUGGUGAUGUUGUUAUGAUAGGUGUGUGUAGACUACAAGAAUUGUUGUUGGGUUCUGCUGAGUGUGAAGAUGGGGUUGGGUGGAAUUGAAUUGUUGUGAGAAAGGGUUGAUAAUGGGAGCUGUAGGACUGUAGUUAGUGUUAGCAAUGAAAGCUUGCAACUUCUGCUAUGGCAGUUUCAGAGACAGAUCAGAGUUGCGCAGCGAAAGAUUCAAGGAGUUGAGUCCGUCUGUUAGAUUAUUUUCGGCUGUGUUUAUUAUGUUGCAAAUUAUAUUUGUAAACCAAAUGACUAUUGUAUAUGUAUCAUUUGAGAUAAGUUCUUGUAUUUAUAUAUUUCUGAGCGGGGCUAGUUUUUGGUUAAGUUUUGUAGCAGAUUUCCUAAUUGAAUGCUUAAGUUUAUGAUUUGGUUUCUUA